UAAGGAAUAUUGCUCAAUGGGAGAAAUCCUGAAGCAGCAACGCCGCGUGGAGGAUGAAGGGUUUUUAACUUGUAAACUCCUGUAAAGAAGGAAAAAAUUCCCAUUAGAUGGGAAAUGAUGGUACUUCUGGAGUAAGCCCCGGCUAACUACGUGCCAGCAACCGCGGUAAUACGUAGGGGGCAAGCGUUGUCCGGAUUUACUGGGUGUAAAGGGUGCUCAGGCGGAUUUGUAAGUCAGAGGUGAAAUCUCACAGCUUAACUGUGAAACUGCCUUUGAUACUGCAAGCCUAGAGUAUGGAAGAGAGUGAUGGAAUAUCUGGUGUAGCAGUGAAAUGCGUAGAUAUCAGAUAGAACACCAAUGGCGAAGGCAGUCACUUGGUCCAUAACUGACGCUAAAGCACGAAAGCGUGGGUAGCAAACAGGAUUAGAUACCCUGGUAGUCCACGCCCUAAACGAUGAAUACUAGAUGUUGGCUUCGCAUGAAGUCAGUAUCUGAGCUAACGCAUUAAGUAUUCCACCUGGGAAGUACGAUCGCAAGGUUGAAACUCAAAGGAAUUGACGGGGUCAUAGCUGUUUCCU
rnacentral:rRNA from 1 species